rnacentral:rRNA from 1 species
AAAGGUCUCGUAGUGACCUGCGGAGGGAUCAUUA